AGCGGGGUAGAGAAGUAGUAUCUCGGGGGUCUCAUAAGCCCCAGACCCGGGUGCAAGUCCCGGCCCCGCAACCA
rnacentral:tRNA from 1 species